rnacentral:snRNA from 1 species
AUUGCUUGCCAGCCUUUUGGCCAAGAGCACGUGUACUAUCUCUUCUUAUCGGUUCCACAUCUGAUAUGUACUCUACCAGAGGAUAUACUAAAUGGAUUUUUGGAGGAGGGAGGUAGAAUAGGAGUUUGUUUGCACUUGCCAACCUGGCAUUAGAGUAUCUCCAGGAAUGGUAAACCUUCC